rnacentral:lncRNA from 1 species
AAAAACAAAAAAAAUAGCAUGGCACUAUGCCUAGUAGUCUUUGUCCACAGGAAAAUGAAGUGUGUCUUAGGACAACAGAUUCAAUUCAUUAGGCUCAUUAUCCUUGAAUAAGCAAAAAAAAUUCAAGAGCCUUGGGUUUGCAUAUUCAUGUUCAAGGUUGGUUUAUGAGAAAUUUGAAACCUCGAGUUCCAUUAUGUUCUCUACGUAAGAACAAAAAUAUAAAAAAUAUUCUAGUUCCGAACUUGGAGUUCCAAGCUAGGGGUAUUUUGAAGGAAAACAAAAAAUAAUAUAAAAAAAAGAUCAUGAUCCGAAAAUAUGAAAAAAUCAGGAGUAUAUAAAUACUAUGAAAAUUAAGAGAUAUUUAUGUAGAUUUUCUCAAAAAAUAUAAGAGAUUGUAUAGUAUGAGACAGUUUAUCUUUGUUACAAGGAGGUUACAGUUGAUAUUAGGCAUUAUAUAUCAAAUUGGAUGGCUUGAGAUGUAUCAUCAAGUUCAAUAUUUUUUUUUUGAAAUUUGAAUCUAGUCAAUGCCUCAUUCACAACUAUCCAAUUGAAAUUUGACAUACAAGAUUGAAUAUGAUCUCCUUAUAUUAAAAUUACAUGGUUUCUUUAUAUAUUUUUCCAAGAUAUAAUGCUGAAAGUUCACCUUUGUAUUUAUUGCAAAAAAAAAUAAAAAUGAAAAUCAAAUGCAUAAUCAUAAUUUUGUGUUUUUUAUCUACAUUCAAUUAAAAAAAGGCGACUUGUGUUUUCCCUCAUUCUCGUGACAACCACCGCUAUAUCAUCUAGAGUAUAUUUAUUCAUUUUUUUUAUGGGAUUGUAUACAAUGAAAUCAUUUAUUUUUAUUACAAGAAGGUCACAAUCACUCUUACUCAUUAGAUAUCAAAUUUAUUUUUAUUACAAGAAGGUCACAAUCACUCUUACUCAUUAGAUAUCAAAUUGGAUGGCUUGGGGUAGUCACAAAAUCCAAGAAUUUUUUUUUUUUGAACCUCUAAAUCUUUUCAAUGAUAAUCUUACAACCACUUAAUUUGAAAUCCAAGUGAUAAAAGUGAUUGUGACCUCCUUAUACAAAAAGCAAACGGUCUCUUUAUAUACUUUUUUUUUUAUUUUUUAUCUCCCUUAAUCUAAUUAUUGCAACAACUCCACCCACUGUGUUACCAGAUCCCACUACCUUCGUACCUCUUAGUUAAUGACUGCAUCCCCUUACCUUCAAGUUCACAAAAACAGCACCUCGUUUCUAUUUCCAUACUAAUUAGACAUCUAUUUUUGAAAAAAUUUUAUAUAAGGUUGACCCCAUAAAAUGUAGAAUUAUGGUGUACCCCUACAAUCCUUUGAAAAAUAUUAUUUUGAUGUUAGAAAAACUUUCAAUUGGCCAUCUCAACAUUGAUAUAUACAAAUAUAGAGGAAAAAAAGAUUUCCAAGUCCUAAAAAAAUUACAUCUUGCAAAACAUUUUCUAGACCGUCCAUUUUCAAUAUUUUCAUUCAUUCAUUUAUGGAUAUGUUUGAUUUGAACCAUUUUUAGAGUGUAAAAUUUUAUAAUUAAAGACAAAAAUAUAUUAAUACACCAUCCUAAGAAUUUUCGAUACCAA